GACGAACGCUGGCGGCGUGCUUAACACAUGCCAGUCGAACGGAAAGGCCCUGCUUUUGUGGGGUGCUGGAGUGGCGAACGGGUGAGUAACACGUGAGUAACCUGCCCUUGACUUUGGGAUAACUUCAGGAAACUGGGGCUAAUACCGGAUAGGAGCUCCUGCUGCAUGGUGGGGGUUGGAAAGUUUCGGCGGUUGGGGAUGGACUCGCGGCUUAUCAGCUUGUUGGUGGGGUAGUGGCUUACCAAGGCUUUGACGGGUAGCCGGCCUGAGAGGGUGACCGGCCACAUUGGGACUGAGAUACGGCCCAGACUCCUACGGGAGGCAGCAGUGGGGAAUAUUGCACAAUGGGCGGAAGCCUGAUGCAGCAACGCCGCGUGCGGGAUGACGGCCUUCGGGUUGUAAACCGCUUUCGCCUGUGACGAAGCGUGAGUGACGGUAAUGGGUAAAGAAGCACCGGCUAACUACGUG
rnacentral:rRNA from 1 species